GACGCCUUUGUUCUUCCUCGGCUUUCGUUUAAGGUUUCUGGCGUUUCCUCUUCGCCCCGUUGUAGCCCAGACAGGAUCACCCUCGUAUCGAAAUUCAAAGAACGCACGAAACGAAAGAAACAAAGAGUGCCAGCAUCGCGCACUUUUGCUUUUCGCCUUGCUUGCCUCCCUCGCCGCUCUUCUCGCCCCCCUUUUUCCUCCUUGGACUUCUGUUGAGCCCUCAGCACACUACUGUCUUCUUUUAGUUUUUGUAUUCCUCAAGUGCAUGCAGCCCCGGGAAGAAAAAGGAGAGGCACUCCAGCUCAAGCACAGCAGGCGGCAGCGAUCACCGAGGUGUGCCUGAGAAAGGCAGCCGUCCCCUGACACAGGCACGUCGAUCCCACGCAUAGGUAUCCCCCCCCCCAAACCACCACUUGCGCUCUAGCACUCAGGUGCGAGUGUCUUGCGUGUCUCUGUCUUUUCUUUUUCUUUUUGUUUCUCAGGAGGGCGUACCGCGUAUCAUUGUAUUUCUAGUGCGUGCUUGAGCUCUCUCUUUUCCCUCCGUUUUCUGUAUCACGCACGCUGUCUGCGUGCUCAUCUGUUCGGCGUCUGUGUAACUUCGUUUCUUUGCUCCGCCUAUCGCCUUCUCCCUUCUUGUGAGUGUGUUUGUGUGUGUAUUUUCUUUUUUUUUUCGUUCUCGCCUUCAGAUUGUUGAUGCUGUCUGUCGUGCUGCUUGCUGUUUGUCCUCUCCUCUCCCGUCUUGCCCAUCUUAUCACCGUUACCUCUACACUCACAGCGCACGCAAUCCCAGUACUGCCCCCCCCCCCCCUCGCCCCACCACCCCUCAAAAAAAAAAAACAUACUAAUAACAUAUACAUAUGUAUAUACACGCACACGACAGGAACACACGCUCUUCUUUGGUUUUCAUCAGAUCACUUUCUCUCUGUUGUUUUGUUUCGUCUUCCUUUCACGUGUGUGUGCGUGUGCGGAGCACGUUGAAUCUGGAAGCACUUUUCUUCGUCUCUGGUGGCUUUGCGGCCAAGCCCCCCUCCCUCUCUCCCUCUCUGACGGCUCUUUUUUUUUUCUGUCGACUCCUCGUUUUCCCUCUCUUCGGUAGCGAUCCUGACUUUCCUGUGUUUUUUUUUUCACUGCUUUUGUACGUUACUUCUUUUUUUUGGUGUGGCGUGUGCUCGCGUAGGCUGGACCCCUCACCCCUCCUCGAUUUCUAUGGUUCUUGUUUCGCUCCUCCCUCUCGCGCGCACGUACACAGACGUUCACACCCUGAUCCAGAUCUUAGGUUGCGAUCCGUGCAAGUAGCACGUGUGCGACGCGCCCUGGCGUCGCACCCACUCUCUCUGAAGGUCUGUGCUGUUUUGUUUGCGUUUCUGCGUGCGUGCGUCUGCUCCCUCUCUUUGGCUACCCCCUCUUUUCUUCUGAUUCACAGAUCGACUGCCCGCCAGGUGCUCGUCGCGCCGCCGCCGCCCUCCCCUCUCUUGUUAUUCGGUACGCGCUUCUCGUUUCGUUGCGUGCUUGGCUCCGCUGUAUUUCGUUCCGCCAUUCUUCCUCCCUCGUGGUGCGCCCGUCUCUCACUCUCCCUCACCUCUGCUCGCCUGCUUUGAUCGACGCUAGCGCUCAGCCGCAAGGUGCACCAUGACUGACCUCGCGGCGGUUGCACCCACUGGGGCCGAGGACAAGUACACGUUUCUAGUCCCCUACGUGAAGAACAGCGCGUCUGACCUAGUGGAGAGCGUCGGAACGCAAACGCAAGGAAAGACGGAUGCGGCCAUCACCCACAUAACCAGCGCAGAGGACUCGCGCAGCCCGAGCACGCCGGAGAGCGACUCUUUCGAGAUCACCACCGUGGCCGCCACCCCCAUUUCUCCAACGGCGACCGUGUCGCGUUGGCCGUCUGUCCAGAAAACGCUGGAGGCCUGCAUGGACCCAGUCUUUCUCGCGUGCUCGUCCGACAUGAAGGACCAUAAGAUUGCCGAGGAGGUUCUACCUCUGAUGGACGCGGCGAUGACAGUGUGCGUGUCUGCCCUCGCUAGCCUCUCCUGCCUGCAGCCCUUUUUCACCGGACGCACUCGCAGCGAGCGCAUCCACACGAUGCUGAGCGCGGUUCGCGCCUCCAACAAGCUGAUGCUGCGCGACGACCUCCCUGCUCCGGCCUCCAGCUUCUGCGCGCUCUCAGUGGACGAGGCCGAGGCGGCCGGGCUGCGCGUUGGCCUUUGCAGUCACGCUGAAGGCCACGCUCGCACCGUGCGGACGCUGGAGUGCUGGCAGCACACGCCUGAGUGCGAGGACUCUCCUCGCUCGCUGACCCUUUCCCGACUGCGGGCAACUUCACCGCAGCAGAAGACGCGGCAGGCAGAACUGCCCAGCAGUGCCCCGUGCGCGCCAUGCGCCGCUCUCGCCUCACUGCUCCCUGCCGACAACGCGCACGCGGCAUGGGAGGCGAACCCGCCUCACGAAGAUGUGAGUGUGUCUUGCCCAGUUGACGCCAACGCUCCCGGCAGGGCCUUGUCGAUCGCUCCUGCAUUCCCUGUCGCGGUGGCCGAGGAGCCGGCCGUCAUCGGCGUUUCCGCGCCACGCAGGACGCUGAAGUGCCCGCGCGUCGUCGGCGAAGAGCCGCUCUGUUCAGGUAACCGUGACUGUGCCGCUGACAACCAAGAGAAGAUCCACAUUCCUACGCUGCGUGCGUGUGUGCCGGUGCCGAAGCCACCACCCACCAUCGACGUCCUCCUCACGGACGCCGCUGCCAAGUUCCAUGGGUCGACAGCGAGCAGCAGCGCGAAAGAGGCAACCUCUGUGCCCACGAUGAGGUCGGACUUGCCGGUGCCAGCCACGCCCUCCUCCGCCACCGCCACUGCAAACACCACGAACAGAUUGCACUUCAGCGUGACAACCGCGCCGUUUAUGCCAAAGAGCGUACUGAGCGCUACCAGCGGUGUCGCUCCCGCUGCCACCCCGCGCCGGCCGACUGUCUGCGAGCAUGCCGGUGCUUUCCCCGCGGACAUCAGCGAGGCCCUAGCAAAGGAGACACUGACGGACUCGAACACCGGCUGUACGCACGCCACACCGGACCUGUGCGCGGGCUCCUCGUGGGGGAAACGGCACGGUGCGGCAGGGGCGUGGAGGAGGGGCUUGAUGGCGGCCCCGCCCAUGCCUGUGGAUGAGUCUCCCUCGACCUCUCUCCGCAAGGAGGUGUGCUGCAUGCCUGCGGAGCGUCCACCGAGGGCGCUCGGGGCUGCGAUGCCGCAGGCCCCGCGUGCCAUUGACGUUUCUCCGAGGAUGGCUGACGCUUUACCGCUCGCUGAGCUUCGCCCGCCGCGCCCGCUGAUGGUGGCCAUCCCUUCUGAAAGCGUUCCCGGCAGCGGCCUCGGCGGCUGCGGGCCGAUAUGCCCAUCGCCAGCGGGGGCGCAGCUGUCGCCAUGCCCUCUAUCACAGUCGCGCCGCCAUCGCCAUGACCCAUACAGCCCGGCAGGCUUCGUGCUGUGCGCAGAGAAAAGCUGCGCCCUCUCCUUGUCGCAGAUGAGCAUCCCCGCUGCCCGUGCCUUCACAUCGUCCGCGUCCCCGAGGCCUGCUUCCUCUGCCUGUAACUCGAGCGCCGCCGGGGAGAUGAUGAGCUUCAGCUUCGCGGACCCGCUGAUCAAAGCCACUGCGCGGCUGCAGGAGCGCCGCCGCCUUCUGCGAGCUGAUACCACCCGUACCCCGUUAUCAGAGCUCGAGAGCGCGUCGUGCUCCGUGGCGCACUCGAGUCCUGCGUGCGAGAGCGGCGAUGAUGUCGAGGACGCUCCAUGCCGAUCGUUGCCGUUGUGCGAGGCACUUUUCGCUGCCGCACGCGCUGAACCAACAGCAGCUGCAACUGCCGCAUUUGUGAACUCCGUAGACGAAGAUGCAGUCUCGCCUGCCGAUGCCGCUGCCGCCGCCGGAGCCCCCAAGUCGUACGCCGAGGCUCUGCGUCUGAGCGCGAAGGCGCUUCCACCGGCUCUCGUUGUCGCUGCAAAGCCGGCAGGGAAGAGAGAGAAGUCGCCCAAGGCGAAGAGCCGCGCUCCUCACCGCUCUGCUGCGGCCUCCAGCAGCCACGUGAAGAACUCCUCUAGUGCCACCGCCAAGGCGGCCACCAAGGCGAAGCGGCCCUCUCUGUCCGCCUAAGAACGGCAUGUGUCCGAUGCCGGCGGACGGUGAAAGGGCACCACACAAGACCACGCAGGCGCUAGUAGUCACAUGAGCACCCCCCAUGUACCUUUUCGAAACUGAGCCGCACGCGCCACGCUACGAAGGUAUACAUGCACAGACUCAGAUAAGCUCCGUGGACGAGGCAUGCUUCAUGUAUCUCGCUGUCUUUGCGUGUGCCUGACCUUCUUCGGUUUCAGAUGCUUUUCUCUGUCCUGCUCAGGUGCCACGACUGCAAGAGGCAUCUGCGAAAGCGGAUACGUCUUCACGCGCGCGAUAUCGUGACUCUCAGCGAUUAGCAAGGACAGAGUAGGCGAAGAGAAUAGAAGUACAUGAAUACGCACAUGAUUUCGGUGACGCGUGGCUGUGCAAGAGAGAGAGGGAGAGGGAGGCAGGGAAAGCGGUAGGUGGUGCGCGAAAGGAAAAAGCAAAGAAAAAAAAACAAGGAAGGCGCGACGCACCCUGUCGCGUGGCUGUGAGCGCCACGCACAUUGUACUCCCUCCCCCCAUCGCACGCGCAAGCGCCAACAACCAUACCCGCCUCUGCGUGUCGCUGUUGGUGUCCUUGUGAAUAGAAAUAUAUACAGAUGCGCCUUUGUGUGUGCGUUGGUGAGCUUGGCCUUCACGUAGAGGAAGUGAGGACUGUGAAACAUGCAGAAGAGAACGGAGCGAGAGAGAACAUGCACACGCACUCGCAUGCGAAGAAAAGCAAAAGCGAUAGGACGGAAACAAGACCCAUUCCAACGCAAACACCGUGCCGAAUGGCUGACGGCUCAAUGCAGGAGGUGGAAGAGAAGGCAGGACACAUAUAUGAUGCGGGAGAACUCUGUUGAAUAGCGGAGGUGUGACAUUGGCAUAAAAUGGUGUGGCAAAACCAAGCCAAUCGUGCGCAUACGCACACAUGUAUAUGGAUGUGUGGCACGGAGACGCCUACUCAAUGAACGGACCGCCUCACAACGUUUUUCCAGACACAGAAGAGGCGUAGGCGCUGCGCGUAUGCUCCGUACGUGCCACCUUCACGCCUAUGUGCUCUGUCUUUCUUUUUUCCCCCUUUUCCAUGGCCUUGUGUUUCUUUUUGUUCUUCGCUCGCUCUGUGAUGCCGCGCGUGUUCGACGUCGCUUCUCUUUCUCUGUCUAUGCCUGUGUGCUCUCUUUUUCCUUCGUAGCGGGCAGGUAUGGCAGGCGGUGACUUUCUCCUACGCAUACGAAUCUGUGCGCGCUUGUAUUUUAGGUGUCGGGGAAGACUCAACCACAUCAAAACACAAAUACACACACACACAUGCUCGCUGUUUUGUUUCUCUUUCAGUGCGCCAAACGCCGAGUUUCAUGCGCUUCUUCGUACUUUCGUGGAUGCGAAUAAGCGCACCUUUUCCCACCAUCUUCGUGCAUCCGACCGGCAUGCGAUCGCAGGCACAGGCUUGAACGGAGACGGAGACGGUAUGAAUAAAGGAAGCCAAAGCAAAGUCAGCGACACUUCCGUUCGCGAUGUGACCGAAUGGUCGUCAGCGUGCUGCCGUGCGCGGCUGCCUGUGGAAGAAUCUCAGGGGCGGGACUUCGCGUCGCCCCAUGUAGUCGCAGCUGGCAAGGCGGCACCUCCUCCCCCUAGCGUACACUACUUGAAGCGAGGAAGGUGUGCCUUGCGCGUGUUUAUU
rnacentral:misc_RNA from 1 species